GGUGAAAAAGGUUCUGAAGGCUCAAAAGGUCUACAGGUAAAUAAAGUGCACCAAAUGUUGUUCAAAUUUUGGCGUAAUGCACACCAGAAAAAACUGAUUGUACAGUGAUCAGCAUGUUACAGUAUCAAUGUUGAAAGGCUAUUAGCUUUAAAAAUAAUAAUAAUAAAAAGUGACCUGUGUUUAUUUUGCUCAUUCCAAGAAAAUGGUGAUACAAUUAACAAUUUCUGAACAUUGUCACAUCAUUUGAUAGAUUUAACUGUAUUUAGUGUGUGUGUUUAUUUUUAUGAUUGUGUGUCUUUUUCUAUAAUAAUAAAUAUAUUAUAAUAUUAUGUAAUUGUUUUUUAACUCUGAUAAAGGGCAAUACUGGAUUGCCUGGACUGACAGGGGCACCAGGACUUGAGGUAAGAACUUCCUGUCUCCAUAAACCCUCCACUCUGGCAUCUUAUGAUUUGACCAAGAUAGAAAAAACAUUAAAGUCUUUCAACUUUAGUGUGAUGGAAUUAUUGCUGACCUUGUCAACGUGGUUGACCAGAAGAAUAGCUCCCUCUGAUUUACUGUCCAGUGCCAAACGCUUUCUUACGGGUGGCUUAUUGCAGUCAGUUCUUGCUGGGUUAAAUGGGUUGUGGUAUGUUACCAAGGUCUAAUUGCGACCUUCAUUUUAGUUAAGGACACCGAUAGGGACCUCUCAGAAUAGCAAACAGUUAAAAUGCUACGCAGCUGGUACAAAAUCAGUACCUGAAGCAAGAGUUUUCCAAGCAUGUUUUCAUUUGCUGUCGCUCAGAGUUAGGCACAAACUGAUUUCACAUUUAGCUAAUGACGUAGUUUCAAACCUGAAAUAAGGUCAUGCUGCUUAAAUAAAAUAUCUUGUUAUUGUUCUUACAGGGAAAGCAGGGUCCAACUGGUCCCACUGGCAUUCGUGGUCUUUCAGGAGACCCGGGCUCUCCCGGUCAGCCAGGAAUGCCUGGAAAAGAUGGAAUGAAAGGAGAAAAGGGUGAUGCAGGUGGAGCACCGGGACCGAUAGGCCCCCCGGGCCUCAAGGGUGAACCUGGUGAGCCCUGCUCUGUCGGAAUUUGCAAUGGGGAGGAGGUCGUGUCUGGCCUUCGGGGGUUGCGGGGCCCUAAGGGUGAACGAGGUGUUCCUGGAGUACCUGGAGAUGCUGGAGAGAAAGGAGAACCUGGGAUUGGAAUCACUGGACCCCCUGGUCUGAUGGGAACUAAAGGCGAACCAGGAAUUCAGGGUCCUCGUGGACCUGCAGGACAAGUUGGAGUGCAAGGAAUUAUGGUGAGAAAUGCUUUUAUUACUUUAAAUCCCAAAACUUGGAACAAGGUGAAAAUAUCAAAAUAUUUAUAUGUAAGAAUAAUUUUAUAUAAAGAAUACUUAAAUACCUUGAAUAUCCUUAUAUUCAUAUAUGUUUUUGUGUCUUAAUCUGAAAGGGACCUCCAGGCCCACAAGGCAGACCAGGACCCCCUGGACCCCCUGGAGAACCGGUUCGUAACAUGUUUUUUUUUUUUACUAACAUGCUGAUAUUGCCUUUUUCUGGACAUUCCUAGAAACAUAAAGUUAAUAUCCAGGUACACUUAAUAUGUUUGUUUUUGAUCUACUAAUGAAAAUAGUUGAAUCACAAUAAUGACACAGCACUCCAUGGGGAAUAAAAUAAAUAUUUGUUUGUACUGCGUCUCAUUUUCUAAUGUUGUAUCUAAUGCUGCUCUAAAUCAUGUUCUUUUUCAGACAGCACUACCUAUUGUUGGAGACAUGGGGACAUUAUUGAAGAACGCCUGCAGUGUGUGUCAGACCAGAGUACCAGGAUUGCCAGGGCAGAAAGGAGAAAAAGGUUCCCUUGGAACUCCAGGUAUCCCAGGAAUGGAUGGAGAAAAGGGGGAUCAGGGUCUUCGGGGCCCAGCUGGUAAUCCUGGAAAAGAGGGUCCGAAGGUAAGCCGCCCUAAAUCAGAGAUUAGAGAAGAGAAUCGUGUGAUUGGCAGACAUAUGAGCUUUAGCUAUAAUUCUGGAAGUGCAUUUCCUCUGUUACAACAAGGCAUUGCAGGGCAAAUAUAUUACACAUGGUGCAACAGUAGCAAAUAA
ensembl:lncRNA